UACGUAGGGUGCGAGCGUUAAUCGGAAUUACUGGGCGUAAAGCGUGCGCAGGCGGUGAUGUAAGACCGAUGUGAAAUCCCCGGCUUAACCUGGGAACUGCAUUGGUGACUGCAUUGCUGGAGUAUGGCAGAGGGGGGUGGAAUUCCACGUGUAGCAGUGAAAUGCGUAGAGAUGUGGAGGAACACCGAUGGCGAAGGCAGCCCCCUGGGCCAAUACUGACGCUCAUGCACGAAAGCGUGGGAGCAAACAGG
rnacentral:rRNA from 1 species